AGCGAACGCUGGCGGCAGGCCUAACACAUGCAAGUCGAACGAACCUUUCGGGGUUAGUGGCGGACGGGUGAGUAACACGUGGGAACGUGCCUUUAGGUUCGGUAUAACUCAGGGAAACUUGUGCUAAUACCGAAUGUGCCCUUCGGGGGAAAGAUCUAUCGCCUUUAGAGCGGCCCGCGUCUGAUUAGCUAGUUGGUUGAGGUAAUGGCUCACCAAGGCGACGAUCAGUAGCUGGUCUGAGAGGAUGAUCAGCCACAUUGGGACUGAGACACGGCCCAAACUCCUACGGGAGGCAGCAGUGGGGAAUCUUGCGCAAUGGGCGAAAGCCUGACGCAGCCAUGCCGCGUGAAUGAUGAAGGUCUUAGGAUUGUAAAAUUCUUUCACCGGGGACGAUAAUGACGGUACCCGGAGAAGAAGCCCCGGCUAACUUCGUG
rnacentral:rRNA from 1 species